GGAAGGGUGAUGAUGGUGUUCGGUAACAAUGGAGAUCAUUAUAGAAGACAGAGACGACGGUGAUUGAAUACGCAACUGGAAACUUCGGGUUAAAGAUGAAAUAUGGCAAUGCAUUGGAUGGUGAUGGUGCGCAAGCGUUGCUUACCUCUUGGAGCUCCGUAGCUUAUAACAACAUAAGCUCCUUUCAAGGUUCUUCAAAGAAACAACAAGCAAAAGUUACCAAACAGACAGAUUGAUCUAACAUCAAGUAAGCAAAUGUAGCUUCUAAUUUUCAAGAUUAUAUGGUACUGUUUGGGAGGAUAAAAUGGGAUUUCCAUUAAAGAUGCGUUGAACCAAUAUUUAAGUAUUUUGUAGUACUAUUUAAUGUAUGUUUUUUUUUUUUUCUGGGUUCAA